rnacentral:rRNA from 1 species
GACGUAGGGCGCGAGCGUUGUCCGGAUUUAUUGGGCGUAAAGAGCUCGUAGGCGGCUUGUCGCGUCGUCCGUGAAAACCCACAGCUCAACUGUGGGCUUGCGGUCGAUACGGGCAGGCUAGAGUUCGGUAGGGGAGACUGGAAUUCCUGGUGUAGCGGUGAAAUGCGCAGAUAUCAGGAGGAACACCGGUGGCGAAGGCGGCAUCCUGGACCGGCAUUGACGCUGAGGCGCGAAAGCCAGGGGAGCAAACGGG